AGUGAACGCUGGCGGCAGGCCUAACACAUGCAAGUCGAACGGCAGCACAGGAGAGCUUGCUCUCUGGGUGGCGAGUGGCGGACGGGUGAGGAAUAUAUCGGAAUCUACCCUUUCGUGGGGGAUAACGUAGGGAAACUUACGCUAAUACCGCAUACGAACUGAGGUUGAAAGCGGCGGACCGCAAGGCGUCGCGCGGAUGGAUGAGCCGAUAUCCGAUUAGCUAGUUGGCGGGGUAAAGGCCCACCAAGGGGACGAUCGGUAGCUGGUCUGAGAGGAUGAUCAGCCACACUGGAACUGAGACACGGUCCAGACUCCUACGGGAGGCAGCAGUGGGGAAUAUUGGACAAUGGGCGCAAGCCUGAUCCAGCCAUGCCGCGUGCAGGAUGAAGGCCUUCGGGUUGUAAACUGCUUUUGUACGGAACGAAAAGGUUUGGCCUAAUACGCUGAACUCAUGACGGUACCGUAAGAAUAAGCACCGGCUAACUACGUGCCAGCCGCCGCCGUAAAAC
rnacentral:rRNA from 1 species